rnacentral:rRNA from 1 species
UACGGAGGAUCCGAGCGUUAUCCGGAUUUAUUGGGUUUAAAGGGUGCGUAGGCGGCCUGUUAAGUCAGGGGUGAAAGACGGUAGCUCAACUAUCGCAGUGCCCUUGAUACUGAUGGGCUUGAAUGGACUAGAGGUAGGCGGAAUGAGACAAGUAGCGGUGAAAUGCAUGGAUAUGUCUCAGAACACCGAUUGCGAAGGCAGCUUACUAUGGUCUUAUUGACGCUGAGGCACGAAAGCGUGGGGAUCAAACAGG